AGGUACAUCUCCUGUUCUGGGCAAUAAUGUGGCAUGAUGGAAAGACUUGGGGUUUGGGACCAGGCAGAUUUGGCUCAGUUUCUCUGGAGCAGUGCUAUAAAGGACUAGCUCAUCAUACUAUCUAUUACUUCAUCCUAGCAUCCAGUCUGUCUUUGAGAUGGUGAGUUCACAUCUGUGAUCUACCUUUGGUAAGGCCCACUUUCAGGGAAUUCUGUUUUCUAUGGGGGAGUUUAGAGAGGACAGGUCAAGGCUGAUGAAUACAGGGGCUGGACUAGACUAUACAUCUGAAGAAAUCA